UCUACACCUCUGUAUCUGUUUCUACGGGGAGAAAUCGCAUUGCCGGCUCUUUCAAAAAUGUCUCCGACCAUUGCGGAGAAGCUCUUACGUCCGUUCUCUGUGGAGUAGGUACACCAAUCGUCGUUGAGUGCGUCCACAACGUUUCCGGCU
ensembl:ncRNA C39B10.10 ncRNA